GUAAGCGCGGUAUUGGAUAUCCGCGUCCAAGCAGUUAGGCUGGGAAAUAGGCAAAUCCGUUUCCCAUAAGGCUGAGCUGUGAUGGCGAGCGAAAUAUAGUAGCGAAGUUCCUGAUUCCACACUGCCAAGAAAAGCCUCUAGCGAGGUGAGAGGUGCCCGUACCGCAAACCGACACAGGUAGGCGAGGAGAGAAUCCUAAGGUGAUCGAGAGAACUCUCGUUAAGGAACUCGGCAAAAUGACCCCGUAACUUCGGGAGAAGGGGUGCUCUGUUAGGGUGCAAGCCCGAGAGAGCCGCAGUGAAUAGGCCCAGGCGACUGUUUAGCAAAAACACAGGUCUCUGCGAAGCCGUAAGGCGAAGUAUAGGGGCUGACGCCU
rnacentral:rRNA from 1 species